GACGAACGCUGGCGGUGUGCUUAACACAUGCAAGUCGAACGGUAAGGCCCUUUCGGGGGUACACGAGUGGCGAACGGGUGCGUAACACGUGAGUAACCUGCCCUCAUCUCUGGGAUAACAGUCGGAAACGGUUGCUAAUACUGGAUAUGAGCUUGCAAGGCAUCUUGUGGGUUGGAAAGAUUUUUUUUGGUUGGGGAUGGACUCGCGGCCUAUCAGCUUGUUGGUGAGGUAGUGGCUCACCAAGGCUUCGACGGGGAGCCGGCCUGAGAGGGCGACCGGCCACAUUGGGACUGAGAUACGGCCCAAACUCCUACGGGAGGCAGCAGUGGGGAAUAUUGCACAAUGGACGGAAGUCUGAUGCAGCAACGCCGCGUGCGGGAUGACGGCCUUCGGGUUGUAAACCGCUUUCAAUUGUGACGAAGCUUUUUUGUGACGGUAGCAGUAGAAGAAGCACCGGCUAACUACGUG
rnacentral:rRNA from 1 species